GUCUCCUUGAAUAAAAAUUUAUAGGGAGUCGGACCUGCCCAGUGACAAUAUAGAUGUUAAACGGCCGCGGUACCCUAACCGUGCAAAGGUAGCAUAAUCAUUUGCCUUUUAAUUGGAGGCUUGUAUGAAUGGUUUGACGAGAGCCAAGCUGUCUCUUAAUAAAAUAGUUGCAAAUUAACCUUUAGGUGAAGAGGCCUAAAUAAAGCUGAGUGACAAGAAGACCCUAUUGAGCUUUAGUGUAGCUAAACUUAACAGUACAUAAUGUAAUUUUUUAUAUUUAUAUAAUUCUUUAGUUUAGUGCAUCUUUAGUUGGGGCGACUGAGGAACAAAUAAAGCUUCCUUGACACUUUACAUUUGCUAUGCUCGCGAAAAUUAUAGUACAUUCACUUUGUGAUCCGGCACUUGCUGAUUAAGAGAAAAAGUUACCAUAGGGAUAACAGCGUAAUCUUUCUGGAGAGAUCUUAUCGAAAGAAGGGUUUGCGACCUCGAUGUUGGACUAAGAUAUCCUGAAGGUGUAGAAGUUUUCGAGGGUUGGUCUGUUCGACCAUUAAAAUCUU
rnacentral:rRNA from 1 species